GAAGUGUUAGCUUAAAUUUACAAGUAUGAAAUUUUUGAUUUCAAGAUAUUUUUUACAUUUUG
rnacentral:tRNA from 1 species